GACAGAGGGGGCAAGCGUUGCUCGGAAUCACUGGGCGUAAAGGGCGCGUAGGCGGGAUGGCAAGUCAGUCGUGAAAUCUCUCGGCUCAACCGAGAAACGUCGGCUGAUACUGCCGUUCUUGAGGGAUGCAGAGGAGACUGGAAUUCCCGGUGUAGCGGUGAAAUGUGUAGAGAUCGGGAGGAACACCGGUGGCGAAGGCGGGUCUCUGGGCAUCUCCUGGACGCUGA
rnacentral:rRNA from 1 species